GGUACUGUGGGAAUAAGCAUCGGCUAACUCCGUGCCAGCAGCCGCGGUAAUAC
rnacentral:rRNA from 12 species